rnacentral:lncRNA from 1 species
GCAUCUUAGCAUUACCAUCACAAAUAGUCAAUCGGGUACGGCCGCGUAUACACUCCAUAGAACGCUGACACGCCUGCCGAUCACACCUCCGGCCGCAUAAAUCCACGAACCUCACUAAAUUUAGCAAUCGAAGACAAGCUCGUACACACCCACAAAAUUCAGCAGGCGAGCCCUGGGGGUUGCCAAAGCUGUGAACGAACAGAACACCUUCUAAAACAACCGAGUCAAGUGACUUCUGAACAAUACAUACACCAGGCGAGAACCUAAUCACUACGCGAAACUAGUUUCAGAGUGUUUUACACAGCACCGGCUAACUCUCUACUGCCUUGAUAAAGUGAGAACCACAGCUUCACAAGGUUGUCUGUGCCUGCUGAACGGUGUUCAGGAGAAGAGCCUCCGCGAC